AACGCACCUUGCACCCUUUGGUAUUCCGAAGGGUAUGCCUGUUUGAGUGUCAUUAUUAUCCUCAACCAUCGGCUCGGGUUUUUUUUCCCCUUGCUGAUCGUGUUGGAUUUGAGGGUGUUGUGUCGGUCCACUUCCUUUGUUGGAAGACGGUCGACUCCCUUUAAAAGCAUUAGUGGGUUUGACCUUUGUGGAUAUGCCUCGAUUUGAUAAAUUAUCAAGAUGUCGUCGCACUGAAGCAAUAAGCCUGCUGUCUAACUGUCCUUGACAAGGACUGCUCACUUGCUUGAGCAAUAAGAGUCGCUGCUUUCGGGCUUGACUUGUAAAAUGACGUUUGACCUCAAAUCAGGUAGGACUACCCGCUGAACUUAA
rnacentral:misc_RNA from 1 species